ensembl:lncRNA
AUCUUGCUGGAGAGACCUGUGUUCCUGAGGCCUUCUAAAGAUUUGUUAUUGUUAAACUUGAGAUGUCCAGGAUGAACUUGAAAUGAUUAGAAAAUGCUGCAUGGGAAGCGUGAAGAUUUGAGAUCCUACUCUGGACAGAGACCUUGGAGUAAAAAAAUAUGUAGAGUCAAACCAAUCUGUAUUAGCAUGUUAAAUUGCAGCACCAAGAGAGCAACAGUUUGGACCUGCUGACAGAUUGUUAAAUGCAAAACUGAAAACAAAUGUGUUUGCAACAUUAUAAACUGAUGUUACAGCUUCAGGGAGUUGCAGAUGUAUAAGAAGAGAGAGAUGCGAAAGCGAAAAUGUAGUAUGAACUUGGAGUCUUUGGAACUAAUAGCAUCAAAAUGGCACUUCAUAUUUCUGCAAGAGGAAACAGUGAUUGAGGUAGAGAUGGAUGAGGAUAGGUUGUCUGCCAGUUGCUGGAGGCUGUCCCCCAAAAGGAUGCAUUCCAUAGUGCUACAUUGUCUUCAAAGCUCAAAGGAGAAGAAGAUAACAUUCCAUCCAGUGUCUGGCAAAGUCUGUGGUGUGUUGAGAACAGAGAGCCAUGGUUCUGAAUAGACCAAAACCAAUGAUCUUGUCACCUCUCAAUAGUCUUAACGGUACUGUAAAAUGGAGGAGGAACUAACAACACCUGUAAUUUGGAAAACUAACAGUUAAAUUGUUAUAGAGAAACAGAAAAUGGGGUCUUGAGACAGAUCAUUGCUAUACUGUGUAGCUGUAGCGCACAACUGAAAAAGUUCCAUUGCAUCUUCCAUGUUUCAAGAUGAUUUUAAGUUGAAAGCAGAUCAGGAAUUCUGGCUGGUGAUCAGUUUUCUGGUUAGUGAGACUUAAUGUGACUUCAUUCUGAGUCAUGGUCUCAGCGUACACAUGGCGUUGGCAUAUGCUAUUAGCAGGGCUGGUGUGAGCAUAACUUGUAGUAGAAGUAGAAAUCUGUGGAUUUCCAUCCAUUCUGACAAAAUGCUGUUGUGGUCCAGUUUGUGUGAGAGCUGCUCAUCGUUAGCUGAGCUGAAAGGCUACUGACUACAGUGCAUUUAAAAUUCUUUCUCCCCAGAUUUGCAGGUUCGGACACUGGGAGUCCUCGUGCGCUUUUGUCUAUGAGAAAGUUCUCUUUACUCUUUUUUUUUUCCCCCCAUCCUGUGCCUGUUAUUAAACAUCUGUGUGACUUUAAGAUACCAGGAAAAGGUAAAUUAAUGCUGCCAAAUCAAUAUAAUUGUGAAUAAUUUUAGGGUUGUACUGUGUCCUUCUUUACUCCAGCAGUAGUCCCAGGGGGGAAAUCAUAACAGUUAUUGCUACUCUUAUAAACUGCUCAUUUAUUUGGGAGAAUUUGAAGAAAAUAUUAAUUACUACUCUGUAACGCAUGACAAGAUUUUUUUCACUCUUUUUAAUUAAACUGAAAACUUCCACAUUUG